CUUUACUGUAACCUGUAUUGGGUUCGGGCUUUGACUGCGCAGGAUAGGUGGGAGACUAUGAAGCAAUCCUUGUGGGGAUUGUGGAGUCAACAGUGAGAUACCACUCUGUCAGAGCUAGAAUUCUAACCUUCACCCGUUAUCCGGGGAAGGAACCGUAUCAGGCGGGCAGUUUGACUGGGGCGGUCGCCUCCUAAAUGGUAACGGAGGCGCGCAAAGGUGUUCUCAGGCUGGUUGGAAAUCAGCCGCAGAGUGUAAAGGCAGAAGAACGCUUGACUGUGAGAGUGACAACUCGAGCAGGGUGGAAACACGGCCUUAGUGAUCCGACGGUUCCAUGUGGAAGGGCCGUCGCUCAACGGAUAAAAGUUA
rnacentral:rRNA from 1 species